UACAGAGGUCCCAAGCGUUGUUCGGAUUCACUGGGCGUAAAGGGUGCGUAGGCGGUCGGGUAAGUCUGAUGUGAAAUCUCACAGCUUAACUGUGAAACUGCAUUGGAUACUAUCCGGCUAGAGGAAUGGAGGGGAGACUGGAAUUCCUGGUGUAGCGGUGAAAUGCGCAGAUAUCAGGAGGAACACCGGUGGCGAAGGCGGGUCUCUGGACAUUUCCUGACGCUGAGGCACGAAAGCCAGGGGAGCAAACGGG
rnacentral:rRNA from 1 species